AGUGAACGCUGGCGGUAGGCCUAACACAUGCAAGUCGAACGGCAGCACAGUAAGAGCUUGCUCUUACGGGUGGCGAGUGGCGGACGGGUGAGGAAUACAUCGGAAUCUACUUUUUCGUGGGGGAUAACGUAGGGAAACUUACGCUAAUAUCGCAUACGACCUACGGGUGAAAGCAGGGGAUCUUCGGACCUUGCGCGAUUGAAUGAGCCGAUGUCGGAUUAGCUAGUUGGCGGGGUAAAGGCCCACCAAGGCGACGAUCCGUAGCUGGUCUGAGAGGAGGAUCAGCCACACUGGAACUGAAACACGGUCCAGACUCCUACGGGAGGCAGCAGUGGGGAAUAUUAGACAAUGGGCGCAAACCUGAUCCAGCCAUACCGCGUGGGUGAAGAAGGCCUUCGGGUUGUAAAGCCCUUUUUUUGGGAAAGAAAAGCAGCAGGUUAAUACCCCGCUGUUCUGACGGUACCCAAAGAAUAAGCACCGGCUAACUUCGUG
rnacentral:rRNA from 1 species